CACAUUUGUUAGAAUAGUACAUUAUAAUUUCAAUGUUUGCUUUCAAGUGCUUCUGGGGUCACAUCAUGUUGUUUUAGGGGCUGUGCAAUUCCCCUAGCGCUACAUGUAAUCGCAUAUAAGCGCAUAACAAGAGAAGUGUUCAAACAUCACAGCAAAGGAUUGUACUUUUAUACUGACCAAGAGAAUUUAUGAAUAGAUUUUAAUAAUUUAACUAAAGAAACACUCCUAGCACUGUAACCAUUAUAGUGCACGUGAUACAGCAGGGCUUCACUCGGGGGAGCUAACUGAACCGUUCUAAAACAGUUUGACUGUUAUAGUGCCAGCAGUGCCCUUGCAUCCUCCUCCUACCGUGUUUCUCCGAAAAUAAGACCGGGUCUUAUAUUAAUUUUAGUCACAAAAAACACACUAGGGCUUAUUUAUUUACGGUACCGGUAUGUACAUUGAACAACAUUUAAACAACUUUUUCUUCAAAUACCGGUACAGUCAUCUUCAUUUUCCUUUGAACCAUUGGUCCUAAUCUCUCAUUUACAGCAAUAUAUGGUACAGUAGCUCUCCCUACCGUAAACAACAUUUAUUCAAUUACAAUCAUGUCAUCUUCUUCUGGAAUAUCAUCAUAACUCUCCAAACCCUGAUUGCCAGCCUGAAUUUCUUGCAUCUCCAUUUCCUUUUGAACCAUUGGGCCUAAUCUCUCAUGUAAAACAAUAUAGCUCUCCUUAAACGAGUACUUCUUGUCCAUGUAGCCUGCUCGUAGUGCUUUGGCAACACAGCUGUCAGUGAUUUUAUCCCAUGAAUUCUUCACCCAUGUCACGACCUCUAGCAGUUUAGGCUUCACAAAGUUUCCACGCUGAUUUCUGACCAAUCUAUUUUCCGUGCGCAAAUGGUCCUUGAAUGGUUUGUUUAUUACAAUAUCAAGAGUUUGGAGAUAAGCAGUCAUUCCUGCGGGAAUCAUUACUUGAUCUAUUCUUCUCUCUGCAAGGAAGUUCUUCAUGUCUUUUGUGCGGUGAGUGCUGGCUGAAUCCCAGACUAGCAGACCUCUUUGGCCACCUCUCAGAACAAGUGGCAGCAUUAAAUCGAUCCACUUUCUUAUAACUGCUUGUGUGCACCAGGCUUUUUCUGUUUCAAGAACAUAAAUGCCUGAAAUGCGUUCAAUCUGAUCUUUCUUGCCCUUUGCGAUAAUUAGAGGUGUGGCUUUUGUUCCAUCCAGACGAAUUGCCAAAACACAAGUAACACAUGCACUUUCAUAACCAGUGGAGGGAACAUAGAUUGAGGAGGCUCCCCUCUGAUCAAUUGUCGUUUGAGAUCCUUGGCCCAUAUACUCUGCAGUUUCAUCCAUCGCAAUCAUGUUGGAGAGUUGGUAUUUAGAAAAGUCUAUGCCAUCAAUAAAGAACUUGAAUGCAAG